rnacentral:rRNA from 1 species
AAUGGAGGAAACUCUGAUGCAGCAACGCCGCGUGGAGGACGAAGGUUUUCGGAUUGUAAACUCCUGUCUUUUGGGACGAUAAUGACGGUACCAAAAGAGGAAGCCACGGCUAACUACGUGCCAGCAGCCGCGGUAAUACGUAGGUGGCGAGCGUUGUCCGGAAUUACUGGGCGUAAAGGGCGCGUAGGCGGCCUGUUAAGUCAGAUGUGAAACCCCCAGGCUAAACUUGGGGAUUGCAUAUGAAACUGAUGGGCUCGAGUGUGGGGGAGGAAAGCGGAAUUCCUAGGGUAGCGGUGAAAUGCGUAGAUAUUAGGAGGAAACCCGGUGGCGAAGGCGGCUCUCUGGACCGAUACUGACGCUGAGACGCGAAAGCGUGGGUAGCAAA